rnacentral:rRNA from 1 species
GACGAACGCUGGCGGCGUGCUUAACACAUGCAAGUCGAACGGAAAGGCCCUGCUUUUGUGGGGUGCUCGAGUGGCGAACGGGUGAGUAACACGUGAGUAACCUGCCCUUGACUUUGGGAUAACUUCAGGAAACUGGGGCUAAUACCGGAUAGGAGCUCCUGCUGCAUGGUGGGGGUUGGAAAGUUUCGGCGGUUGGGGAUGGACUCGCGGCUUAUCAGCCUGUUGGUGGGGUAGUGGCUUACCAAGGCUUUGACGGGUAGCCGGCCUGAGAGGGUGACCGGCAACAUUGGGACUGAGAUACGGCCAAGACUCCUACGGGAGGCAGCAGUGGGGAAUAUUGCACAAUGGGCGGAAGCCUGAUGCAGCAACGCCGCGUGCGGGAUGACGGCCUUCGGGUUGUAAACCGCUUUCGCCUGUGACGAAGCGUGAGUGACGGUAAUGGGUAAAGAAGCACCGGCUAGCUACGUG